ensembl:lncRNA
UACCCUGGCACAUGCUUUGUCCAAUGGACCAUGGAAGGGACUUUACUUGGCUGACGAGGUAAAACGUGUGGCUGGCGCACGAUUCAUUGCAUCUCGUAGAGUAGAAUUCAGUGGUAGACAGGCAGGCCUCUAGAUUGUUUAUUAUGAUUUAAUGAAGUGUUCCUAUGUGACGCUGAUGGGCCCUGGUUGCUGCUAAAUGCUUGUUGAAAGUGCAUUGUGCACUUUUUGUAUGUAGCUACAAAAUGAGGGUGGAUAUCACUUUAUAGUUUAUAGGCAUUAUAUACUAAUAAGAAUCAUUGACAAAUCACAUUCCCCUUUUACCACCACAGGACGCACCUCACCAGUAUCAGAGCAACAGCUGUGGGGUGUUCAUGCUGAUGGUGAGAUGCAUUAUUUUCAGAAAUGAUGACUGAUGACUAGUUUGCAAAACAACUAACUCAUUUGUAUGUUAAUUUCAGUACGCAAUGUAUUCUACCCUCAAAAGCAAUAUGAUUUCAGUGAGGUGAGUUCUUUCAAAUCUCAAUCAGAUGUGUAGCAUGAAAUAUAAAGCUUUUAAUAAUUUAGUCAUCCUUACUGGAGGCUACAAUUAACAUGCAUCAUAGGUCAUACACAUUACUUUGUCUUCAGGUACUGCACUUACGGGAGGAGAUGGCUACAUCUUCACAAUAAUUUACACUGCCAUAGUACACUGCUAAACAGUACUGUAACAUGGAUUUGUAUUAGGCUAUGAAGUCAUUUAAAGCAUAACUUUACUUUUCAGGGGGACAUGCUCUCUAUCAGGAGGUGGUGGUUGGACUGCUGUUGGAGACCUUUAUGCUUGAAAGCCCUGCAGAACUAGCUGGCUCCUUCUCACCCUCUCCAUCUCCCCAUCUCAGUCACACCUUCCAAUCACUAAGCAGUGAAAGCCCGGCAGGACUAGCUGGCACACCAAGCUCACCCUCUCCAUCUCCCCAUCUCGGCCACACGCUCCAAUCUGGCACAACAGAGGACAGGCCAUUCUUAUCACUCGAAGUCCUUCAGCAAAUUGUACAAGAGACGCUGAGACUGGACAUGGCGAUGCUUGGCGUGUUCAACAGGGUUUCAAACACAUUCCGAGAACUAAUCAAGCCUCUCUAUCCUUCAAUAUAUAAAUGACAGUUUGGCAGGGGACAUUAAGCUUAAUAAAGACAAUCUCAUAUACAUAACGGUUAGAAAGAUUUACAACAAUGCAGGCUGUGGCAGUGGCCUUGCACUACGCCUCAAAGGCUUCUUAAAAAAGAAGAAUUGGCCAAGCGCACCCCUGGUACUGAGGCACGUUGCAUAUGGCAGGUUUGUCAUAAAAGAUGUCUGCAUAGCAUAAUGUUCUUUUAUUACUCCUUUUUCGUUUUAUUUGGGACGUCAUUUUUGCAAUCCCUUUCAUUUGUAAAUGUACAUACUACUGUAGUAAAUGUAUCUGCCCAGAAAUGCUGGUAUUUUAUUACUCCUUUCUUUUUUGUUUUUGUGACAAAUGCUAUACGAUGUAUAACAUACAUUUGUGCCUACGAUGUAUGUUGUAAGGUUAAUUGUUACAGAGCAAUUACUGUAUUUUGUCUUUAUUGAAAACAUUCAGUGGGAAAAGUAAGUGAACACUUGGAGUCAAAUGGCCCACUGUUUGAGCCUUCAUAGUGUCUGGUAACUGGAUUUGAACUGCAUAAGGUCCCAAGUGUUAUUUUAAUCUAUUCAUUAUUUAAUUUGGGCAUAUUCUUAAACAACUAUAUCAAACAUCUCACUUAUACCUAAUACCCUACCUAUACUAACCCAGAAGAUAAUGAGCAUGAGAUCAUGGAGCCUCCCUGUAAUGAUUGUGUUGCAUCAAGUUUGAUGCAAAGUUUGGGCCGAGAUCCGACACAUAAAUGUAAGUUAACAUUCUGUAGGCCUAGCUGGCUAACGUACCCGUAUUACGAGAUCGAAGAAGGGGGCGCUAACGUCAGUUCUUUGCUGCCCAUACUACUAGAUCGACGAAGAAGAACGGGGCGUUCCAGCCUGCGUAAACGAGAACGCCCACCACACGAGAACGCCGGGGGGGCGUUUUAGUCUGCGUGAACGGGAACGCCCACGACACGGGAACGCCCAUUUGUGUCUGCAGUCGGAUGAUAUUGAAAACAAGUGGGAACAAGGACUAAGAACAAUUAAGCAAGCAUACAGUAAGUGAACAAGAACAGCAAAGUAGAGCCAGGGGGUAUCAAUAAAUAAAACAAUGUUAGUCAUGUGUGGAACAAGAACAACAAAUGUGUAAACAGGUGUGUGUGUCUACAGUAUAUCUAACUUGUAAAACAAGAAAAAAAUGAAGGCACAGAGAGGAAUAUUAUAAGUUAUUAAUAAACAAAGAAAAUACUCCACAUACAUCAGGCUGAGGUUAAGGAUAGUAAAGUGCAUCAGGUCGAAAGGAAGGACAACAAUUGCAGCAGUCGCCGCCACCGCCACCACCACCAGCCACCAGCAGCCGCCACCAACAACAGCCGUCGCCAUCACAAGCCGCCACCACUAGUAUGGGAGAAAUUAACCAUUACUUUUAUAUUAACUAUGAGUAUUAUCAGGUCUAUAUAUCAUAUAGAUACAUUAAUGGUGGAAAGCAGCUAAAAUCAUCUCUGAAUUCAUAGGCAUACUAUUGAACUCGGCAUGGUGCCAGAGAGU